rnacentral:rRNA from 1 species
GACGAACCGUGCGAACGUUGUUCGGAAUCACUGGGCUUAAAGGGCGCGUAGGCGGCCGGGUUGGUCGUGGGUGAAAUCCCCCAGCUUAACUGGGGAAUUGCCUACGAUACUGCCUGGCUCGAGGGAGGAAGGGGCGGCCGGAACUGUCGGUGGAGCGGUGAAAUGCGUUGAGAUCGACAGGAACGCCGGUGGCAAAAGCGGGCCGCUGGCCCUCUUCUGACGCUGAUGCGCGAAAGCCAGGGGAGCGAACGGG